UAGGCAAAUCCGCGUGGCUUAGAUGAGGCGUGAUGACGAGGAUCCUCGGAUCCGAAGUGAGUGAUACCCAGCUUCCAGGAAAAGCCUCUAAGCUUCAGUCAUAGAGUGACCGUACCGCAAACCGACACAGGUGGGCUGGUAGAGAAUACCAAGGCGCUUGAGAGAACUCAGGAGAAGGAACUCGGCAAAUUGAUACCGUAACUUCGGGAGAAGGUAUGCCCCUGGUACGUGAAGGCCCUCGCGGCCGGAGCGGAACGGGGUCGCAGAGAAUCGGUGGCUGCGACUGUUUAUUAAAAACACAGCACUCUGCAAACACGAAAGUGGACGUAUAGGGUGUGACGCCUGCCCGGUGCCGGAAGGUUAAGUGAUGGGGUGCAAGCUCUUGAUCGAAGCCCCGGUAAACGGCGGCCGUAACUAUAACGGUCCUAAGGUAGCGAAAUUCCUUGUCGGGUAAGUUCCGACCUGCACGAAUGGCGUAACGAUGGCCACACUGUCUCCUCCUGAGACUCAGCGAAGUUGAAAUGUUUGUGAAGAUGCAAUCUCCCCGCGGCUAGACGGAAAGACCCCAUGAACCUUUACUGUAGCUUUGCAUUGGACUUUGACGGGACUUGUGUAGGAUAGGUGGGAGGCUAUGAAACCGGGACGCCAGUUCCGGUGGAGCCAUCCUUGAAAUACCACCCUGGUGUCGUCGAGGUUCUAACCCAGGCCUGUGAAUCCAGGUCGGGGACCGUGCAUGGUGGGCAGUUUGACUGGGGCGGUCUCCUCCCAAAAGGUAACGGAGGAGUACGAAGGUCACCUAGGUACGGUCGGACAUCGUACUGAUAGUGCAAUGGCAAAAGGUGGCUUGACUGCGAGACCCACAAGUCGAGCAGGUGCGAAAGCAGGUCAUAGUGAUCCAGUGGUUCUGUAUGGAAGGGCCAUCGCUCAACGGAUAAAAGGUACUCUGGGGAUAACAGGCUGAUUCCGCCCAAGAGUUCACAUCGACGGCGGAGUUUGGCACCUCGAUGUCGGCUCAUCACAUCCUGGGGCUGUAGCCGGUCCCAAGGGUAUGGCUGUUCGCCAUUUAAAGUGGUACGUGAGCUGGGUUUAAAACGUCGUGAGACAGUUUGGUCCCUAUCUGCCGUGGGCGCUGGAAGUUUGAGAGGGCCUGCUCCUAGUACGAGAGGACCGGAGUGGACGCACCCCUGGUGUACCGGUUGUGACGCCAGUCGCAUCGCCGGGUAGCUAUGCGCGGAAGAGAUAACCGCUGAAAGCAUCUAAGCGGGAAACUCGCCUCAAGAUGAGACUUCCCCGGGGCCUCGAGCCCCCUGAAGGGUCGUUGAAGACCACAACGUUGAUAGGCCGGGUGUGUAGGCGUGGCAACACGUUCAGCUAACCGGUACUAAUUGCCCGUGUGGCUUGAUCCU
rnacentral:rRNA from 1 species